GACGAACGCUGGCGGCGUGCUUAACACAUGCAAGUCGAACGGUGAAGGGGUCUGCUUUUGUGGGCCCUGGAUGAGUGGCGAACGGGUGAGUAACACGUGAGUAACCUGCCCCCUUCUUCUGGAUAACCGCAUGAAAGUGUGGCUAAUACGGGAUAUUCUGGGUCUGUCGCAUGAUGGGUCUGGGAAAGAUUGCGCCUUUGGGUGUUUUUGGUGGGGGAUGGGCUCGCGGCCUAUCAGCUUGUUGGUGGGGUGAUGGCCUACCAAGGCGGUGACGGGUAGCCGGCCUGAGAGGGUGGACGGUCACACUGGGACUGAGACACGGCCCAGACUCCUACGGGAGGCAGCAGUGGGGAAGAUUGCACAAUGGGCGCAAGCCUGAUGCAGCGACGCCGCGUGAGGGAUGGAGGCCUUCGGGUUGUAAACCUCUUUCGCCAGUGAAGCAGGCCUGCUCCUUGUGGGUGGGUUGACGGUAGCUGGAUAAGAAGCGCCGGCUAACUACGUG
rnacentral:rRNA from 1 species